GAUGAACGCUGGCGGCGUGCCUAAUACAUGCAAGUCGAGCGAACAGACGAGGAGCUUGCUCCUCUGACGUUAGCGGCGGACGGGUGAGUAACACGUGGAUAACCUACCUAUCAGACUGGGAUAACUUCGGGAAACCGGAGCUAAUACCGGAUAAUAUAUUGAACCGCAUGGUUCAAUAGUGAAAGACGGUUUUGCUGUCACUUAUAGAUGGAUCCGCGCCGCAUUAGCUAGUUGGUAAGGUAACGGCUUACCAAGGCGACGAUGCGUAGCCGACCUGAGAGGGGGAUCGGCCACACUGGAACUGAGACACGGGCCAGACUCCGACGGGAGGCAGCAGUAGGGAAUCUACCGCAAUGGGCGAAAGCCUGACGGAGCAACGCCGCGUGAGUGAUGAAGGUCUUCGGAUCGUAAAACUCUGUUAUUAGGGAAGAACAAAUGUGUAAGUAACUAUGCACGUCUGGACGGUACCUAAUCAGAAAGCCACGGCUAACUACGU
rnacentral:rRNA from 1 species